rnacentral:rRNA from 1 species
UACGAAGGGUGCAAGCGUUACUCGGAAUUACUGGGCGUAAAGGGUGCGUAGGUGGUUUGUUAAGUCUGCUGUGAAAUCCCCGGGCUCAACCUGGGAAUGGCAGUGGAUACUGGCAAGCUAGAGUGCGGUAGAGGGUAGUGGAAUUCCCGGUGUAGCAGUGAAAUGCGUAGAGAUCGGGAGGAACACCCGUGGCGAAGGCGGCCAUCUGGACCAGCACUGACGCUGAGGCACGAAAGCUAGGGGAGCAAACAGG